ACUUUACCCCUACCUACAUGUACAAUUUACAUUGACUAACCUGUACCUUCGCCCCGCACCUUGACUCGGUACACCCUGUAUAUAGUCUCGUUAUUGUUAUGCAAUUGUAGUGUUACUUUUUAUUUAAUACUUCAUUUAGUAAAUAUAAAACGAUGCGUGUUAAUGUUCAGACCGAGCGAUGAGCUCUUAACAAAAACACUCCCAUACAGAAAAUAAUCUUCUUCCAAUGAUUUAUGUGCAAUGUAAUGUAACUAAUGGGACAGAGAGUAAUGAUCAGGGCAAGUUAGAUCUCAACUAUGUUAACGUUAUGUCGCUAGCUAGCUACUUCAUCAUUUGGAUCAGAUAUCUACACAAAAACAAAAAGCCGUUAAAUGCAUAUACUCUGCAAUCUUGCAAAUGAACGUUGCCUUGACAGAUUGACUUGUUGGCACACUUCUUAUCCGGGUUUGGGUCCGGUGUAAUAAGAUAACUCGACCUGGUGGAAUACGACACUUACUUCAUAGAGCGCUCCGUAAGCCGCGCCCCAGUGUUGGACUGGGACUCGUUUUAAUAGGCUAAAAAGCCUCUCAUUUUACCGUGGGUCCGCGAUGGUUCUGUGUAGCCUAGUUGUGCUAAUAUAUUUGAGACCAGUGUAUUGCAGUUCAUUUCUUCUUUGAAUUAAUAAGUAAAAUAUAUUUGAGUAGUAAACAGGGAAACAACGAGUCCCAGACACUUCGCAAAAUAGAACAUACCAGAGGGGGCAUCGUUAACUAGGCUACGUAAAUUAUUGGGAUCAUCUGGUUACCACAAGGAUUCCUAAAUCAUUGCUAAGAAUAAUGAAAAUGACUGCAGUUUCUACUGGUCAUUGUUUUCAGGCUGGUUGAAUUGUUGCUAGCUAGGUACCCCAGAAGUUGCGGUCGAACAAAUAAGGCCUUAUUACCAACGCGGUAUUGUAAACACAUCGUUCGUGGCCGGUGUUUUGCUUACUUUUUUGUACAGCUUUGACAGUGCUACUGAUAGUGGUGGCGCUUGGCUUGCACGUGCGAAUACAGAGCACACAUAUGAAAGGCCAAAAGGUUCAAAUUGUCUUAACACUUGUAAUUAUCAUUUUUCACUUGCUUUUUUCAAGUGUCAAAUGUCACUUUUAUGUACACGUGAUUUUCCACCUGUCCAGUAUGGAGAAGGCCAAGAGUUUCAAAUCGUCUUGAUUUGAAAGCUUGUUAUGGGCAUUUUUACACACGUUCAUUACACCUGUUCAGUGUGUAUUUACGGGUGAUUGGAACGUUUUGAAUAUUGUACUUUCAGACGCAUGAAAUUGUGCCACUGCACACGUUCUGAAUGCCUGUGUAGUAACUGGUACGUUUCAUGCUUAUGAAAGUACCACAUUGUAAGCCCCUCCCACCUCAAUUUCCAUGGGUUUGACUUUUUUCGACUUCUGGCCUGUUGCGAUGAAUCGCUUACUCAGGGAGGGAGAUGUUUGUAAAUGUGGAUCAAAUUGUUACAAUUAGUCAAUUACAUUUACAGAACGUAAACGCUACAGCAAGGCGUUGGUGAGAAAAAUGGAGGAAGAAAUUAAAACUAAUUUUUCCACAUAGCAUUACAACUACAAAAUGUUCAUUGAAAUAGCAUGGCUAGUUAGCUAGCAAUAGUCUUCUGUCUAACCUGUAACUAAUGGUUGUUACGUUGUGGAACAGAGCAACAGUUCUUUGUACUUGUCAUUUGGUUGAGACUAAUAUUAGUUUAGAAAAUAAUUGUUUACUUUGUUAUUAUUUGUUGUGUAAUUGGUUGGCUUUGCUAGUUAGCAAGCUGAGAUUUGUGUGCUAAAGUUGGCCAAUUUAGCUAAUGUUUUAGAACAGGCUAGCUCCCUGCAGAAUAUAGACAAUAGAGAAUGGGGAAUAAGAUCUGGCUGUUGCAGUGCCUAGACGAGGUGAGAGCAAACUGCUACAAAGAUAAAAAGCCACAACAUGAUGAUCAUGUAGUCAAGCAUAUGAAGACGAGCGAGGAGGAGAAAAGCCUGCUUUGGAAGAGCAAGCUAGAACAACAACCAGCUAUAUCAGAUAAACAUGUUCAGGAAAAGCAGGGAGAGGGCAAGCUAGUAGUAGUAACAUUAUUAUUUGAAACCUCACAUGCUCAUAAUCUGUAUGUGUUAUAUUUAAGCAAUAAGGCACCUCAGGGGUUUGUUGUAUAUCAACAAUAUGCCACGGCUAAGGGCUGUUCUUAGCACAAUGCAACACGCAGUGCAUGGAUACAGCCCUUAGCCGUGGUAUAUUGGCCAUAUACCACAAACCCCCAAGGUGCCUUAUUGCUAUUCAAAAUAAUUGCUGUUGCUAUUACCACAGUAAAUAAGUAAUAUUGACUCAUACCCGUGGUAUACGGUCUGAUAUACCAUGGCUUGCUAUCUUUCUCAUGUUGUAUCGAUCAUCAACAUGAACAAGACUGAAUUCUGUUGAAUUGUCAACUAGUCUAAAUUCUUAUUAGGAAGAUGUUGCUGUUCAGAAUGACAUGUUUAUGACUGUUGAUGUUCACAGGAAUCUCCAAAUGCUAUGUUGAACGAGCAACAUGGAUGAAGGAGGGGGAGGAAAACAGACAGCCUUCAACAAGUCAUAAAAUGUUUGCUUCAUGAAUAAUUGUUACAUCAGAAAUAAUACAGAAUUGUUUUAGUUUAUUCUGUUUCUAAUGUAUUUUACCUGGAUGUGAGUAAUUUAGCAGGUCUAUAGUAUAAUGUAUUGUUUUGAAAUGUUUAUUAAAUAUCUGUUCAGUCAAAACUCACUUAUUAUUUUAUGUUUGCUAAAAUAAUGUGUUUUGUACUGUUACUUUUUACAUACUGAAACAGUCUCAUUCCUUUUGAGCUAGACUAUGAUCGUGGAAAUGUCUACUACCUUUUUUUAAAUGUUGAUGAAAUCAGCACCGUUUUUUAAUAGUUUGUUGCUACUGUCUAGUGAGGAAGUGGACAAUAUGGAAUACAUUGGAGGAGGAAGGGAGAAUUAAUGAGAAAUCAGAACUUGGACAAUGUCAGGGAAUAAGUAGGUAAAUGUACAGCCUAUCAAUGACAAAAGAAACGGUGCAGAGGUAGCCUUAAGAUGACAUUAGAUAUUUGCAUGUUAUGUACUGGACAGACGGCUAGCCAGCUAUUCUCAAAACAUUGAUUACCAAUUUGAGCUGUGACGUCUCAGUUUGCAUGUAAAGUGUUGGUCUCAUGUUUCAUGAGCUGAAAUAAAAGAUGUCAGACAUUUUCCA